CCUCCCUCCUUUCCUCCUCCUCCUCCCUCUCCUCCCACAAAGCUUUGCAGGAGAGCUACAAUCAAAUUUAGGACUUUUUUCACGUUUGGGCGCCAUUUUCGAUUGGACUGGAGGAUAUCUCAGGCCUGUUCCAAAGCCUCUCUGCUUCUCCUUGAGUUCUCCUGUAGGUGGCGCUCCACCCUCACUCAAGUUUUCAUGGUUUGCUGCUUUCCUGCCUUUCAGGAUAUAAAACUGGUGAAAGUGUUUAAUUUAAUUACGAAUCUGCUGCUUCCGCAGGCUUUUCUUUUCUUUUUUUUCUGGCACAUCUGAAAUCUUGAAGUUCACUGCUGUGGAGUUGUAGCUGCAGGAUCUUGGAGUUCAAGUCUGAGGCUGCUGAGCACGGAGACCACCACUCCUUCAGUAAUAUUUACUGAUGAUCAGAAGGUCUCCACAUAUUUGGUAUACCCACCUUGAUCACAGCUCAAGCACUGUCUAGCAGUGUGGGCGAUAUGGCCCUAAAAUCGUUUUUGUGCUAACUGUGUUCUUUUGUCUAUGACAAAACAUUUAAAUUUUUAAGAAUAUACUACUGAAAUAAAAUGAUCACUAAGUUUUAAUUAGUAUAAAUA
rnacentral:lncRNA from 1 species